UACAGAGGGUGCGAGCGUUGUUCGGAAUUAUUGGGCGUAAAGGGCGCGUAGGCGGUGCGGUAAGUCACCUGUGAAAUCCCUCGGCUUAACCGGGGAACUGCGUCUGAUACUGGAUGGCUAGAGGUUGGGAGAGGGAUGCGGAAUUCCAGGUGUAGCGGUGAAAUGCGUAGAUAUCUGGAGGAACACCGGUGGCGAAGGCGGCAUCCUGGACCAAUUCUGACGCUGAGGAGCGAAAGCCAGGGGAGCAAACGGG
rnacentral:rRNA from 1 species